rnacentral:pre_miRNA from 1 species
UCUUGUGGCUAGGACUCGGCCUGUGACUUGUGUGUCAGUGUGUCACAUCACAGUCAGAGUUCUAGCUCCACGG